UACGGAGGGUGCAAGCAUUAAUCGGAUUUAUUGGGCGUAAAGGGCGUGUAGGCGGGCUGGUAAGUCGAGUGUGAAAUUCCAAAGCUCAACUUUGGAACUGCAUUUGAAACUACUAGUCUGGAGGAUUGGCGGAGAAAAUGGAAUUCCACGUGUAGCGGUGAAAUGCGUAGAUAUGUGGAAGAACACCUGUGGCGAAAGCGAUUUUCUAGCUUAUACCUGACGCUGAGGCGCGAGAGCAAGGGGAGCAAACAGG
rnacentral:rRNA from 1 species